AUGUCCCGUAUGCUUCACUUAAGAAGCACGAAGAAAUAAUGUGUGAAAAUUAUCGAGUGGUUUGUAAGUAUUGUAUUCAAAUGAUACCAAGGAAAGAUAUUGAACAUCAUGAAAGUACGACUUGUGAUGAAGUGCCGACGAAAUGUGAAUUUCAAGCCAUUGGAUGCAACCAUGAUAAAACUUUAAAACGAAAGGAGAUCAGACAACAUAUGAAUGACACUCCAAUUAAUCGCGUGAGCCUCUUGUUACGAUAUGUUAUGGCAUUUGUUAUACAGC